CACCUGAACCAGACACAAGCGUCCACACUCUUGACCCCUAGAAGCACAAGUAUAUUAUCUUGGGAAGUGAUGGACUUUGGAAUAUGAUCCCACCUCAAGACGCCAUCUCAAUGUGCCAGGACCAAGAGGAGAAAAAAUACCUGAUGGGCGAGCAUGGACAAUCUUGUGCCAAAAUGCUUGUGAAUCAAGCGCUAGGCUGCUGGAGGCAGCGAAUGCUUCAAGCAGAUAAUACUAGUGCCAUAGUAAUUUGCAUCUCUCCGGGAGUGGACAGUCAGGGAAAUUUCAGCAGUGAAGACGAGCUCUAUCUGAACCUGACUGAUAGCCCUUCCUAUAACAGUCAAGAAACCUGUGUGAUGACUCCUUCUCCGUGUUCCACACCACCAAUCAAGCCCCUGGAGGAGGACCCAUGGCCAAGGCUGAACUCCAAGGACCAUAUACCUGCCCUUAUUCGUAGUAAUGCCUUCUCAGAGAAUUAUUUAGAAGUCCCACCUGAGAUAGCUCGAGGGAAUGUCCAGGCUGCAGUCAUAUCCUCAAAAGAUCCAGAGCCACUAGAAGAAAAUUGCACUAAAGCCCUGACUUUAAGGAUACACGAUUCUUUGAAUAAUAGCCUGUCUGUUGGCCUGGUGCCUACCAAUUCAACAAACACCAUCAUGGACCAAAAAAAUGUGAAGAUACCGAGCCCAGGUCAAAUGAAAGCCCAAGAAGUUGAAAGAACCCCUCCGGCAAACUUCAAAAGGACAUUAGAAGAAUCCAACUCUGGCCCUCUUACGAAGAAGCACAGACGGAAUGGUUUAAGUCGUAGCAGUGGUGCUCAGCCUGCAAGCCUCCCCACAACCUCCCAGCGUAAGAACUCUGUUAAACUUACCAUGCGACGCAGACUCAGGGGCCAGAAGAAAAUUGGGAAUCCUUUACUUCACCAGCACAGAAAAACUGUUUGUGUUUGCUGAAAUAUGUUUGGAAAUUUUUUCCAAACUUCUUAAGAGGGCUUUUUUGAAUUUGGUGCCGAAGUUGAACUUUUUUUAAGGGGACAAAAGAAAU